GAUGAACGCUAGCGGCAGGCUUAAUACAUGCAAGUCGAGGGGUAGCAAGAUUGUAGCAAUACAAUUGUUGACGACCGGCAAACGGGUGCGGAACACGUACACAACCUUCCUACAAGUGGGGAAUAGCCCAGAGAAAUUUGGAUUAAUACCCCGUAACAUAGCGAUGUGGCAUCACAUUGCUAUUAUAGCUUCGGCGCUUGUUGAUGGGUGUGCGGCUGAUUAGAUAGUUGGCGGGGUAACGGCCCACCAAGUCUACGAUCAGUAGCUGAUGUGAGAGCAUGAUAAGCCACACGGGCACUGAGACACGGGCCCGACUCCUACGGGAGGCAGCAGUAAGGAAUAUUGGACAAUGGACGCAAGUCUGAUCCAGCCAUGCCGCGUGAAGGAUUAAGGUCCUCUGGAUUGUAAACUUCUUUUAUAAGGGACGAAAAAAGGUCUUUCUAGAUCGUCUGACGGUACCUUAUGAAUAAGCACCGGCUAACUCCGUGCCAGCCGCCGCAGUAACAC
rnacentral:rRNA from 1 species